rnacentral:rRNA from 1 species
CAAAAGAGUGGGGAGAGCUUUGAGUAGAGGUGAUAAACCUACCGAGCCCAGUUAUAGCUGGUUGCCUGAGAAAUGAAUAGAAGUUCAGCCCUUUAAACCUUUCCCCACCCACAAUGCUUACGCUUAAAUAGGUUAAGGAAACUAAAGGAGUUAAUCAGAAGGGGUACAGCCCUUCUGAUAAAAGAAACAACUUUAACAGGUGACCCAAGAUCAUAUUAAUUAAGGACUUUAAAUUAAGUGGGCCUAAGAGCAGCCACCUUAACAGAAAGCGUUAAAGCUCAAAUUAAACACCACCCGUAUAUACUGAUAUCUAAUCUCCCUCCCUGCUUUUAUCAGGCUAUCCUAUGCCUCCAUAGGAAUAAUUAUGCUAAAAUGAGUAAUAAGAAGAAUUUUAUUCUUCUCCAAGCACACGUGUAAGUCGGAACGGACCUUCCACCGACUAUUAACCGACCCCAAACCCAGAGGGACAUAAGUCAUUUCAACAAGAAAACCACUUAUUUUUAAUCGUUAACCCCACACAGGUGUGCCCCAAGGAAAGACUAAAAGAGAAGGAAGGAACUCGGCAAACACAAGCCUCGCCUGUUUACCAAAAACAUCGCCUCUUGUUCCUCAAAAUAUAAGAGGUCCCGCCUGCCCUGUGACUAUAUGUUUAACGGCCGCGGUAUCUUAACCGUGCGAAGGUAGCGUAAUCACUUGUCUUUUAAAUGAAGACCUGUAUGAAUGGCAUCACGAGGGCUUAGCUGUCUCCCUUCUCCAGUCAAUGAAAUUGACCUCCCCGUGCAGAGGCGGGGAUGUUUCUAUAAGACGAGAAGACCCUGUGGAGCUUUAGACCUAAAGUAAACCACGUUUAAUGUACUAAAAUUAAUAGCAUAAACUUAGUGGACAUUUAUUUAAGUGUCUUUGGUUGGGGCGACCGCGGAGUAAAACAUAACCUCCAUGUGGACGGGGAUACUAUCCCUAAAACUCAGAGCCUCCACUCGAAGCAACAGAAAUUCUGACCUUACUGAUCCGGUACAACCGAUUAACGAACCCAGUUACCCCAGGGAUAACAGCGCAAUCCCCUCUCAGAGCUCAUAUCGACGAGGGGGUUU